CAUUAAGUAUCUACCUAUUCAAUUUAUGGAAAUAAGCAUAAAACAAAAAGCAAGUUUUCAUAUAAAAUUGUUACCGUGUAGUGUGUAUCUAUUACAUUAAAAAUACAUUUACCCAAAUCACCGAGUAAAUCCACAUUAAUCACUAAUUACAAGUAAAAUAUCAAUGGGAUAUCAAUGUUAAUCAUGAUGAAUUUUACCUAAUUUACC